CCUAUUAGAGAUUCAAAAUGUCCCACUUUCUUUUAGAGAAGAUAAUGUGAGACAAAUAACGAAUUAAUUUAUCCCAUGAAUUUAACGUUUCCUCCUUGAUACCAUCCUUACCAUCUCUGGACCUGCAUCUCUCCAGCUCCCCGCCACCCCACCAACAAAGCCGUAUUGACUGGACACGAGCAUCUCCCAUUUCUUUCAUAUAUCAGAUGCCCCCUCUUCCACUAGCUGCUUCUCCCAGCGCGACAUCGCCCGAUCUAAUCGCCCAAGUAAGCCUCCGGUGAACUCACAAUCAAAUAACCCUUCUCUUUUCCCAAUCCAUCCCUGCUCGACUCGCUUGGCGUCGUAUAUCUUAAUUAUUGCGCCCCUUUCCUAGAUAUCCACAAAUCUGUCCAACACCCUCUCGACCUUCGGGCGUGGCUCUGCGCAGUAUGUUGCCGUGCUGGAUAUGUUGAGAGGGGCUAUUCAGGAGCUAGAGAUGGAGGGGGGAGGGGAGGAGACGCAGGACGUUACCGCUAUAAAUGGUGGUGGUGGUGGUGGUGGUGAAGAAACAGCAAUAGUGGAUGUUAUUGAGGGGCUGAGGAAGCUAUUGGAAAGGGGAUUGAAGGUUUAAUAUCUGAAUGGUUUAUGAAGAACGAUGGUGAAUGAUGACGAUAUUUUGGAUUUUCUUUUUUCGUUUUUUUCCCCUCUUACUUUUAUUGUUUUCACGUAUUUCAUGAUACGCAGGGUCAGCGACUCUGAGGAGAUAUUCAGGUGCAGAUGCGGAAUAUAUAAGGGUUAAAUAAGCGGAUCCUCAACUGGCAGUUCCCUGUAGCUUAUCUUCUCGAAUGGUGUCUAUGCAAUGUACUAUGAGACUCGUCGUAUUUAAGAUCAUAAACGGAGAAAAUAAGGACAAGCGAAACUUAGGAGAAAUGCGAAGUAAGAGAAAAUGAUGUAUGACCAAAAAAAUGAAAAGUGUGAUAUAUAAC
rnacentral:sRNA from 1 species